rnacentral:rRNA from 1 species
UACGUAGGGUGCAAGCGUUAAUCGGAAUUACUGGGCGUAAAGCGUGCGCAGGCGGUCUGUCAAGUCGGAUGUGAAAGCCCCGGGCUCAACCCGGGAAGUGCACUCGAAACUCCCGAACUGGAGUCCUGGAGAGGAAGGCGGAAUUCUCGGUGUAGAGGUGAAAUUCGUAGAUAUCGAGAGGAACAUCGGUGGCGAAGGCGGCCUUCUGGACAGUGACUGACGCUGAGACGCGAAAGCGUGGGGAGCAAACAGG